CCAAUAGCGUAUAUUAAAGUUGCUGCAGUUAAAAAGCUCGUAGUUGAAUUUCGGGACUAAUAUGUCGGUCGUGCCUCGGUACGUACUGGUAUUUUUGGUUUCUCCCUUCUGACGAACCUUGAUGUCAUUAAUUUGGUGUCUUGGGAAAUCAGGACUGUUACUUUGAAAAAAUUAGAGUGUUUAAAGCAGGCUCACGCUUGAAUACAUUAG
rnacentral:rRNA from 1 species